rnacentral:rRNA from 1 species
UGGGGAAUAUUGCACAAUGGGCGAAAGCCUGAUGCAGCAACGCCGCGUGAGUGAUGAAGGCCUUCGGGUUGUAAAGCUCCUGUCUUUUGGGACGAUAAUGACGGUACCAAAGGAGGAAGCCACGGCUAACUACGUGCCAGCAGCCGCGGUAAUACGUAGGUGGCAAGCGUUGUCCGGAUUUACUGGGCGUAAAGGAUGCGUAGGCGGAUUUUUAAGUGAGAUGUGAAAACCCUAAGCUUAACUUGGGGGACUGCAUUUCAAUACUGGAAAUCUAGAGUGCGGGAGAGGAGAAUGGAAUUCCUAGUGUAGCGGUGAAAUGCGUAGAGAUUAGGAAGAACACCAGUGGCGAAGGCGAUUCUCUGGACCGUAACUGACGCUGAGGCAUGAAAAGCGUGGGUAGCAAAACAGGAUUAGAUACCCUGGUAGUACCACGCCGUAAACGAUGAGUACUAGGUGUAGGAGGUAUCGACCCCUUCUGUGCCGCAGUUAACACAAUAAGUACUCCGCCUGGGGAAGUACGAUCGCAAGAUUAAAAACCUCAAAUGAAUUGAC